GCUGCCCAUCAAGCACGGCUUGUGUGUUGGGUCGUCGUCCCCCCCUCCGGGGGGGGACGGGCCCUAAAGGCAGCGGCGGCACCGCGUCCGAUCCUCGAGCGUAUGGGGCUUUGUCACCCGCUCUGUAGGCCCGGCCGGCGCUUGCCGAACGCAAAACAACCAUUCUUUCCAGG
rnacentral:misc_RNA from 1 species